rnacentral:rRNA from 1 species
UAAUACCCCAUAGUAAUUAUUGAUGGCAUCAUUAAUAGUUUAAAGUUCCGGCGGUUAAAGAUGGGCAUGCGUGCCAUUAGCUAGUUGGUGAGGUAACGGCUCACCAAGGCAACGAUGGCUAGGGGUUCUGAGAGGAUUAUCCCCCACACUGGUACUGAGACACGGACCAGACUCCUACGGGAGGCAGCAGUAAGGAAUAUUGGGCAAUGGGCGCAAGCCUGACCCAGCCAUGCCGCGUGCAGGAAGACAGCCUUAUGGGUUGUAAACUGCUUUUGUCAGGGAAUAAACCCUCGUACGAGUACGAGGCUGAAUGUACCUGAAGAAUAAGCAUCGGCUAACUCCGUGCCAGCAGCCGCGGUAAUACGGAGGAUGCAAGCGUUAUCCGGAUUCAUUGGGUUUAAAGGGUGCGCAGGCGGGCUAUUAAGUCAGGGGUGAAAUCCUACGGCUCAACCGUGGAACUGCCUUUGAUACUGAUAGUCUUGAAUUUAGUUGAAGUGGGCGGAAUGUAGCAUGUAGCGGUGAAAUGCAUAGAUAUGCUACAGAACACCGAUAGCGAAGGCAGCUCACUAAGUUAAAAUUGACGCUCAUGCACGAAAGCGUGGGGAUCAAACAGGAUUAGAUACCCUGGUAGUCCACGCUGUAAACGAUGAUCACUCGUUGUUGGCGAUACACAGUCAGCGGCUAAGCGAAAGUGAUAAGUGAUCCACCUGGGGGAGUACGAUCGCAAGGUUGAAACUCAAAGGAAUUGACGGGGGCCCGCACAAGCGGUGGAGCAUGUGGUUUAAUUCGAUGAUACGCGAGGAACCUUACCUGGGCUCAAAUGCAAGUUGACGUAUGGUGAAAGCCGUAUUUCUUCGGACAAUUUGCAAGGUGCUGCAUGGUUGUCGUCAGCUCGUGCCGUGAGGUGUCGGGUUAAGUCCCAUAACGAGCGCAACCCCUAUCAUUAGUUGCCAUCAGGUCAAGCUGGGGACUCUAAUGAAACUGCCUACGCAAGUAGAGAGGAAGGUGGGGAUGACGUCAAAUCAGCACGGCCCUUACGUCCAGGGCUACACACGUGCUACAAUGGCCAGUACAAAGGGCAGCUACCUGGUGACAGGAUGCUAAUCUCAAAAGCUGGUCUCAGUUCGGAUCGAAGUCUGCAACCCGACUUCGUGAAGCUGGAAUCGCUAGUAAUCGCGCAU